rnacentral:rRNA from 1 species
GACGAACGCUGGCGGCGUGCUUAACACAUGCAAGUCGAACGGACAGGCCCUGCUUUUGUGGCGUGCUCGAGUGGCGAACGGGGGAGUAACACGUGAGUAACCUCCCCUUGACUUUGGGAUAACUUCAGGAAACUGGGGCUCAUACCGGGUAGGAGCUCCUGCUGCAUGGUGGGGGUUGGAAAGUUUCGGCGGUUGUGGCUGGAAUCGCGGCUUAUCAGCUUGUUGGUGGGGUAGGUGCUUACCACGCUUUCGAGGGGUAGCCGGCCUGGGAGCGUGACCGGCCACCUUGCGACUGCGGUACGGAGCAGUCUCCUACGGUAGGCAGCAGUGGGGAAUAUUGCGGAAUGGGCGGACGUCUGAUGCAGCAACGCUGCGUGCGGGAUGACGGGCUUCGGGGUGUAAACCGCUUUCUCCUGUGACGAAGCGGUAGUGACGGUAACGGGUAAAGAAGCACCGGCUAACUACGUG